rnacentral:lncRNA from 1 species
AGUCUGUCCUUUAUGUAGUCAUAUGAGAGAUCCAAGGUUAUUUUGUGGCCUGAGUGCUAGCUGCCAGGAGCAAAAUGAGAACUGAAAACAAUUCAGUUGUCCUAACCCAAUCAGGAGAGAGGACUAGGGAACUUAUUACUGAUGCUGGAGGUGGAUGGGGAACACAAGUGAAGGGUCAUCUUCAAAGAGUGUGAAGCUACUUCCUUCAAGGAAGAUGGAGCUUCAAUAGAUGACAUCUCCAACAGGGAUCUUCUCCUUCUUCUCCAUGGAAAAGAAGCUCCAAUAAUUGAUGAUACCAGUCCAGUCUAUGAAGACUCCACAGCAGUGGACAACAACUCGAGCAUAUAUAUAUAUAUAUAUAUAUAUAUAUAUAUAUAUAAAAAUGAAAGAGAAGGAAGAUUUGCAGAAUAUCAAUAUUUCUUUCCAACUCCUGCCUUCCACUCCCAAAUAAAAGCAAUAGAAAUGUUUUUUUAAUCAGAAAUCAAAAGAAAAACAUUUUAAAUAAGAAAACAUUUAGAGAGAAAAAAGGAGAACUCAGAACAUAGUAAUAAAAGUGAAUCCCAAAGGAACA